GACGAACGCUGGCGGCGUGCUUAACACACGCAAGUCGAGCGGUAAGGCCCUUUUGGGGGUACACGAGCGGCGAACGGGUGAGUAACACGUGGGUGACCUGCCCUCAGCUCUGGGAUAAGCCUGGGAAACUGGGUCUAAUACUGGAUAUGACCUUUCCUCGCAUGGGGUUGGGUGGAAAGUUUUUCGGCUGGGGAUGGGCCCGCGGCCUAUCAGCUUGUUGGUGGGGUGAUGGCCUACCAAGGCGACGACGGGUAGCCGGCCUGAGAGGGCGACCGGCCACACUGGGACUGAGACACGGCCCAGACUCCUACGGGAGGCAGCAGUGGGGAAUAUUGCGCAAUGGGCGGAAGCCUGACGCAGCGACGCCGCGUGGGGGA
rnacentral:rRNA from 1 species